AGUAUGCUCAGUGUGCUGAAGAAACAACAGUGUGGUUUGAGCAGAGCCAGUGAGAAGGGAGCGAUAGGAAAAGACCCUAGAGAUAAUGGGGGCUUUAUGGACCAUGGUGAGGACAUUGGACCUCACUCUGAGUCUUCUCGGAAGUCACCGGAAGGUUUUGAACAGGGAGUGACAUCAUUUGACUCCUAUUUUCAUGGAAUCCCUCUAUGUGGGAGAAUAAACAUAGCGGCACUGUAAGAAUAUGAUCAACGACCAUGGGGAACACACAGAGUCUGGCACACAGCCAUGCUCAAUAAUGUUUUUUAAAACCUUACUUCCCGUGCACGCAGGAGAAAGCAGGAUUCUUUUUGUUAUAAGGGGUGGGAAACGAGGAGGCACCUUAAAUGUCCAUUUGGUCCCUUAUUUUUCUAAUUGUGCUCCUUCCAGAGGGCCCUGGGUGUGCAGUGACUGUUUGCAAGGCCUGAUGGACCUGCCGGGCUUUGCUCUUGUGGCUAUGACUUCUGCCAAGCUCUGAGCAGUGCCUGCUAUGAGUGCUUGUCUGUAACCUUCCUGAACCCUGUCCAAAGUCCUGGACUAUUAUGGUGCCAGCGGAGUUGAAGGGACACCGUGCAGCCAUGAACAGUAUGAACUUCAGAGCCAGACAGACCCGGUCUGAAUCUUGAUUCUGCCACCUCCCAGCUGCGUGACUUCAAUCCUCUCCCUGCCCCGGGCCUCAGCUUUGUCAUCUGCAAAAUGGGGAUGGUAAUAAUGGUACCCACUUGGCUAGGUUGUUGGAGCAUUAAAUGAGACCAUUCCACA